GGAGCAGACUUUCCUUUCUUUUUCCAUCGCGGAGGGGUAUGUCUCGCAGCGCAGGACGGACACGGAGCAGCGGCGCGCAGGGUCCUUUUGGAGCCUACGGGACCCCGAGAAAAGCCGAAUUCCUUCUGGGAGGGCGGGGGGUAGGUGCUCAGUGAUGGAGAGAAGGAAGGCGGAGGGCGGGGAAGGCACAGAUCCGCACCGCCCUCCGCGGGGCCCCGCGCAGCGCUCGCCAGUAGCCGCCUCCGCUUCCCAGCGCGCCCCGAGCAGAGGCUCAAACUGAAAGUAAAUUAAAAAAAAAACAAAACGGAACAACCACACAAAACAAAGCAAACUCCAGCAAAGAUCCGCAACAAAACAGCCCCAACCCAACAGCACAGCGACGGGGUACCAGGCGGUAGUCCCUGUGAAGCAGAAUAAAGAUGGCAUGGGACAGUGCAGCAAAGGCUGAAGGCUUCAGACACAUUGGUCCUGCUGACGUCUCACUCUGACUACCUUUGGCAUCCUGUGGGCCUGACAGUGCAACAAUGGUCAGGAUGAGAAGGAAGAGGCUGUGGGCAUCUUGCAUCUGCUUCGCAGCUUUCUUUUUCCUUGUGGUACUGCUCCAGGUUAUCACUGAACUGGGCAAUUCAGAGAGUAAGACAGCAGCAGUCUUACACAGUGGCCCACUGAAGCCUGAUGAGAGACAUGCUUCCCAGCUUAAGAAGAAGGAACUUUACAGCAACUUCGGGAUGGAGCCUGAUACAGAUCACUACCCCAUCCUGCUCUGGUGGUCUCCUCUGACUGGAGAGACAGGGAGAUUGGGGCAGUGUGGUGAGGAUGUUUGUUUCUUUACUAUUAACAAGAGCUACCAGCACAGUCAGAUGACGAGAGCUUUUUUGUUCUAUGGUAAGGAGCUGUUUCUUUCUAAGGGAGAAACUUUCCCUCCUAUCAUUUUCUCUUAGACAUUAAAUAUUCUAGGUGGAAAUCGCCGAGGAGAAGAAAGUUUACACAGCUCACUUUGUUAAAUUUUGCCUGGUGCUGAAUCCAUUAUCAGAGGUCCAGAGACCUUUGCAAAAGUACUCAGAAAAGUGAUGAUCCACAGGAUGACUGUUCCCUUGUCUCAUGCUGCUUUCCAGUCACACAUGCUCCUUGUUUAUGGCAGAAAAGAUCAUUUCCUGUAGUUGCCAAGUCAUGAAAAGAGUCUGAGAUCAGGCUGUUUUUCCACUCUUCUAGCUUAUCACCUCCAGCAGAAGUUCUGCAAGGCCUUUGUUGCACUUGUGCAAGUCUUUUGUCUUAAGAUAAUGCCCUCGCUGGUAACUGUGCAACUGCCUUGCCUCAUGUGCCGAGAUUGCCAGCAGACUGUAAAAGGAAAGUACUGAAAGAAAUGUAUUGAUUCCACACAGGGAAUGGCAGCUAGACCAGCCUGCUGAGCUCUUCUGGCUCUGCUGCCUCACUACUUCUCACUACUUGUACUGUAACAACAAAACACAGAAGAGGUAUCUUUUGAAAUUAGUCUUUAUUUUCUUAUUUUUCCUCAUACUAUUGCAGAGAAAUAUAAUAACCUUAGGUGGAAAACUAACAACAAAUAAUUUUCUAUAAUUGGUAGAUUCAGCUCCUUUGUCUGGAAACAAAACAAAACAAGAGUCCUGAAUCUUCAUUCAUUAGUUCGGGACACAGGUGAGAUGGGAAUAGAGGGAAGGGGGGGCCUUUUAUGGAAUUGUUAACAGUAAACCCAGAAACUUCUCAUCAGUGAUCUUUUCAGAGCUUGAAGUAGGUCACCAUUGUCUGCUGAUAAAACAGUGGUCAGGCAUGAAAGCAAAUGAAUAACAGCAAGGGAAUGAGAAGCUGACCCAAUUAAAUACACGGAAAGCUAGGUCUGCAUCACAUGAAAGUUGUGAAGUCUGGUAUUUCUGGUCUCUGCCAGCGAUUUUGUUUGCCUACUUCAGCAGUAAAAUUACAAUUACUGUUCACUUAUAGCAGUGAUGAUUUAUUUUAACAGGACAUGAUUUACUUGCUGAUUUUUAAAAGAUUAUUUUUAUUGGACUAAAGACCUUUCUUGUAGUUUUUCUAAUGAUGCUCUCUUUGAACUGCAUAUAAAAGCGUCAACGUAUUCAGAAGUGCUACUUGAUUUUAGACUACAGUAAACACUCUCAAUGUGCCAGAAUCUGCAAAGAAAAGGUGUCGAAGGUGACAAAUAAUGCUGUGUCAACGCAGAAAAGCGUACCACCCCCCAUUCCUUAGAUGCAGUUAACUGUGGGCCUGCAAAAAGGGAGAUUUUGGCAUUCCAGAAUUUCCAACUGAACAGCCUACUGAGUGAAAGAAACCUUAAACAUCUGCAUGCCCAUGCUAAGAUUAGAUUAGGGCACAGCUUUACAUUCCAAAGAAGCUCAUUCAUUCCCUCCUAACAUUUGGUCAGUGAACUUGUCAAAAAAUGAAUGACAGAAUGAAAAGAACAUUAUGCAAAAUGGGGUUCAGAUGUUUUUUACCAGAACUGCACUGCUAGUAACAGCUGCUUUUCUGCAGCUUGUCUCUACUUACUGUCCUGGCCUGGGAAACCUGUGGGUGUGGACGAUGACUUUGUCAAAUCUCUCUUCUGGAAUCUGAGAUGUGACAAUCACUUGAUGGGUUUUAUCUUUAUUUUGGGGAGGGUUUCCAAACCCUACUUUUUCAACAUAGCAUACUCACAGAGUUUUGCUUGCACCAAUCACAGAAUCACAGAAUCACAGAAUUGUAGGGGUUGGAAGGGACCUCUAGAGAUCAUCGAGAC